rnacentral:lncRNA from 1 species
GGUCCGCGGUUGAAUUUUUCUGAAGAGAACUUCUAUAAUUAUUUAUUCCAAAUAUUUUUGUACUUCCAUUAGUCUAAAUUCGAAUAAUAAAUAGUAAUUCUUAUUCCAAAUAAGAAUCUAGUAUUAUGAACUAAAUAAUUUGGUAUACCUUCGAAAGAGAUCGAAAUAUAUAUUGUUGUUUAUGGCUUUCUUCAAUUGUAUUUUAGAAGUUUAUAAAUGUUAUGUAAAAUUGAGAAUAAAAUUAUUUUAGACUGUCUAACUGAAUUUAAAUGUUGUAAACAAUUGGCUUAUAAAAUAAAAUAAAAUAUAUAUUUUUCAGAACAUAGUAUAGAAUUUAUAAAAUAACUAACACCAAUAUUAAUAGUUAUCACCAGUCGCGGGUUGGGCUGAUUCAAAAUAUGACACAAUUAUUUAAGAUAAUAUAUUCUAUAAAAUUCACAAUGGUGGAGGUCUUUUCAAAUAUGGUCUCAUUAAAGUUUUAUAAUAAUAAAUAAUAUGUAAAAUUUGUAUAAUUAAAAAAAUCAUUGUAAUUUUCACAAAUAAGUCAAUCUCUAAUUAUUCUUAAAAAAUCGAAACAUUUUUAUAUUGUUUUAUAAUUUUACAUAUAAAACACAUUUACAUAAUAUGAUACAUAAUCUUAAAGACAUCAAAUAAUCUUUAAAAAACAUGAUGAAAGGGAAAGUUUAGAUUAUUUAGUAUAUAAUCCAUGACAAUAAUGAUUUUUAUUUGAAUAUAAACAGAAUGUUUUGGUAAACUAAUACUAUACCAUAUUUACACCAUUAUUAACUGCAGAAUUUUUAUUGUAAAAUAACUAAAAAGACAUGAUUUGGUGUUUAUACGUCUUAUAGGAAAUAAUAUAUUAUGGAUAUUGACAAAGUUAUUGAUGAGAAAUGUUUGUCUUAUUGAUUUUGAAGAUGAGUUGAGCAAUAAUGCAAAAUAUAUUACUGACAUUGUUGUCGUGUUGUAUCUUGGCAAAUGGUAGUUUAGGCUACUAUUUGUUUAAAUGAUUUUCAUGUAAAACAUAUAUUUUUGGUAACCAAUAUAUAAUAUAAUGGCCGUCUCGGUGCAAGUUCUAAUUAGAUACAUAAUUUGAAAAUCUUAUGUCAUAUUAUAUUCUAUAUUAAAAUAUUCCAUACAAUAUAUUGACUAUUAUAUAUAUAUCUUUGUUAAGGAAAUCUAUGUUUUUCCUAUAAUAUAUAUAUAUAUAUAUUCUGAAGUAAAUCUAUAUUUUUCAUAGAACUAAGAAUAUAUUUUUAUUUAUUUAUGAAUCUAUAAAAAUUUUUUUUGAGAAAAUAAGAACUGUUAUACAAACUAUUACUUAUAAUAUUAUUUCACUUCUGUAAAUGUAUGCAUGAAUUUCAUUAUAUCUAUAUAUUACCCAUUAAGAAUUGAAGAAUAUUUUGUUUAACUAUAAGAAAUUAGUAAAUAAAAUUGUAGUUGCUAAUUACUUUUGGCCACAUAUUUAAAUUUUCAAAAUUAGACACACACACACAUAUAUAUACAUAUGUCAUUAAUUGGUAAUUUUAUGUGGUGAUAUAUCCUAUCAGAAUGAUAUUACGUGUAUACGCACACCAAAUAACCUAAUGUGCACACUACCACAAUCGAAUGGUAUGUCGAUGUAGCACUUUAGGAUCGAAUCCACAGAGACCAACUAUUACACUUUAUCUUUAUGGGAUCAAUAUCAAGCUAAAACAAUAUGGGGGUUUUAAAGUUGAGGAAUCGUAACAAGCAAGUAAUAGGUUGAAUUAAAGUUUUCAGAUGAUUAAAAAUGCUAGCCUAGGGUGGUUUGAUCGGAUGUUAAACAAGUGUGAGCCAAACAAUUAUUCAAGUUUUUUUAUACAGGUGCCGACCUCAACAGAGGGCCCAAACCAACAUGCUCUAAAACACCAAAGAAUGUUUGGUGUUGCAGCAACAAUUCACACUGUCGGGAAACCAAAGCGCUAUGUGAGAAGAUUUGUUGGGUCCGCGGUUGAAUUUUUCUGAAGAGAACUUCUAUAAUUAUAUAUUCCAAAUAUUUUUGUACUUCCUUUAGUCUAAAUUCGAAUAAUAAAUAGUAAUUCUUAUUCCAAAUAAGAAUCUAGUAUUAUGAACUAAAUAAUUUGGUAUACCUUCGAAAGAGAUCGAAAUAUAUAUUGUUGUUUAUGGCUUUCUUCAAUUGUAUUUUAGAAGUUUAUAAAUGUUAUGUAAAAUUGAGAAUAAAAUUAUUUUAGACUGUCUAACUGAAUUUAAAUGUUGUAAACAAUUGGCUUAUAAAAUAAAAUAAAAUAUAU